rnacentral:rRNA from 1 species
UCAAGCUACUAAGGGCAUACGGUGGAUGCCUAGGCGCCAAGAGCCGAAGAAGGACGCGGUAAGCUGCGAAAAGCCACGGGGAACUGCAAGCAAGUAUUGAUCCGUGGAUAUCCGAAUGGGGAAACCCGGCCAUCGUCAUGGAUGGUCACCCGCAAGGGAGGGAACCUGGGGAACUGAAACAUCUAAGUACCCGGAGGAAGAGAAAUCAAACGAGAUGCCCACAGUAGCGGCGAGCGAAGAGGGCAGAGCCCAAACCGAGAAGCUCCGGCUUUUCGGGGUUGAGGACCGGCAGAAUCGAAGUCAGGCCUAGUUGAAUUACCUGGAAAGGUAAGCGAGAGAGGGUAAAAGCCCCGUAGACGAAAGGCAGAGCAGAGAGGCCGAGAUCCAGAGUACCACGAAGCACGAGGAAUUUUGUGGGAAGCAGGGGGGACCACCCUCCAAGGCUAAAAACUACUUGGCGACCGAUAGCGCAUAGUACCGUGAGGGAAAGGUGAAAAGAACCCCGGGAGGGGAGUGAAAUAGUACCUGAAACCGUAUGUCUACAAGCAGUCGAAGCGAAAGCGACGGCGUGCCUAUUGAAGAAUGAACCAACGAGUUAUCUGCACUAGCGAGGUUAAGUGGAAGACACGGAGCCGCAGCGAAAGCGAGUCUUAAGAGGGCGCUAGUUAGUGUAGGUAGACCCGAAACCGCAGUGAUCUACCCAUGUCCAGGUUGAAGCGCAGGUAAAAUUGCGUGGAGGACCGAACCGGUGAGCGUUGAAAAGCUUUCGGAUGAGAUGUGGGUAGGGGUGAAAUUCCAAUCGAACGCGGAGAUAGCUGGUUCUCCCCGAAAUAGCUUUAGGGCUAGCCUGAGGUAGUAAGUAUAGGCGGUAGAGCACUGAUCGGGCUAGGGGCCGUAAAGGUUACCGAACCCUGUCAAACUCCGAAUGGAUAUACUGUAGAGCCUUGGAGUCAGACUACGAGUGAUAAGAUCCGUGGUCAAAAGGGAAACAGCCCAGACCACCAGCUAAGGUCCCCAAUGUCGUACUAAGUGGAAAAGGAUGUGGGGUUUCAUAAACAACCAGGAUGUUGGCUCAGAAGCAGCCACCAUUUAAAGAGUGCGUAAUAGCUCACUGGUCGAGAGACCCUGCGCCGAAGAUUCCCGGGGCUAAAGUACGAAACCGAAGCUGUGGCUGUAUACGUAAAGUAUACGGGGUAGGGGAGCGUUCCCAUAGGGUAGAAGUCGAACUGGAAGGUUCGGUGGACUUGUGGGAAGUGAGAAUGUUGGUAUGAGUAGCGAAAAGAAAGGUGAGAAUCCUUUCCACCGAAAGCAUAAGGAUUCCUGAGCAACGAUCGUCGUCUCAGGGUAAGUCGGGACCUAAUCCGAGGCAGAGAGCGUAGGAGAUGGACAACUGGUUGAUAUUCCAGUACCGGUAGUAAUUGUUUGAGCAAUGGAGUGACACAGAAGGGCAGGCAAGCAUGCGAAUGGAAGAGCAUGUGUAAGCGUGUAGGGUGGUGCAUAGGCAAAUCCGUGCACUGAAAGCCUGAGGCGUGAUGCGGAGUGAGCAGAGAUGCGAGCGAAGUUGUUGACCCCACACUGUCGAGAAAAGCUUCUAGUGAGAGAGCUACCGCCCGUACCGUAAACCGACACAGGUAUGCGGGGAGAGAAUCCUAAGGUGCGCGGGAGAACCCUCGUUAAGGAACUCGGCAAAAUGUACCCGUAACUUCGGGAUAAGGGUAGCCACUGUUGUGAAGUCCCAUGCGGAUGGAGCAUAGAGUGGUCGCAGAGAAGAGGCCCAAGCGACUGUUUACCAUAAACACAGGUGCCUGCUAAAGCGAAAGCUGACGUAUAGGUGCUGACACCUGCCCAGUGCCGGAAGGUUAAGGAAGGAUGUUCGGAGUAAUCCAAAGCAUUCGACUGAAGCCCCGGUGAACGGCGGCCGUAACUAUAACGGUCCUAAGGUAGCGAAAUUCCUUGUCGGGUAAGUUCCGACCCGCACGAAAGGUGUAACGAUUUGGGCACUGUCUCAACGAGGGACCCGGUGAAAUUGAAAUACCUGUGAAGAUGCAGGUUACCCGCGACUGGACAGAAAGACCCCAUGGAGCUUUACUGUAACCUGACAUUGGGUUUUGAUACAUUACGUACAGGAUAGGUGGGAGGCAUGGAAAGCUGGACGCUAGUCUGGCUGGAGCCGACGUUGGGAUACCACCCUUGAUGUAUUGAAAUUCUAACCGCGAGAGUAACGAAAUCCGGGACAGUGUCAGGCGGGCAGUUUGACUGGGGCGGUCGCCU